AGAGUUUGAUCCUGGCUCAGGAUGAACGCUAGCGGCAGGCUUAACACAUGCAAGUCGAGGGGCAGCGGGGAGGAAGCUUGCUUUCUCCGCCGGCGACCGGCGCACGGGUGAGUAACACGUAUGCAACCUGCCCCUGUCAGGGGGACAACCCGCCGAAAGGCGGGCUAAACCCGCGUACAUGCCACCGGGGCAUCCCGGAGGCAGGAAAGGCUUCGGCCGGACAGGGAUGGGCAUGCGGCGCAUUAGGCAGUAGGCGGGGUAACGGCCCACCUAACCGACGAUGCGUAGGGGUUCUGAGAGGAAGGUCCCCCACACUGGUACUGAGACACGGACCAGACUCCUACGGGAGGCAGCAGUGAGGAAUAUUGGUCAAUGGUCGGGAGACUGAACCAGCCAAGCCGCGUGAGGGAGGAAGGUACAGAGUAUCGUAAACCUCUUUUGUCAGGGAACAAAGGCGGGGACGUGUCCCCGGAUGAGUGUACCUGAAGAAAAAGCAUCGGCUAACUCCGUGCCAGCAGCCGCGGUAAUACGGAGGAUGCGAGCGUUAUCCGGAUUUAUUGGGUUUAAAGGGUGCGCAGGCGGUCUGUUAAGUCAGCGGUCAAAGCCCGGGGCUCAACCCCGGCCCGCCGUUGAAACUGGCAGUCUCGAGUUGGAGAGAAGUAUGCGGAAUGCGCGGUGUAGCGGUGAAAUGCAUAGAUAUCGCGCAGAACUCCGAUUGCGAAGGCAGCAUGCCGGCUCCACACUGACGCUGAGGCACGAAAGCGUGGGUAUCGAACAGGAUUAGAUACCCUGGUAGUCCACGCAGUAAACGAUGAAUGCUGGCUGUCCGGGGGGAUUGACCCCUGGGUGGCGAAGCGAAAGCGAUAAGCAUUCCACCUGGGGAGUACGCCGGCAACGGUGAAACUCAAAGGAAUUGACGGGGGCCCGCACAAGCGGAGGAACAUGUGGUUUAAUUCGAUGAUACGCGAGGAACCUUACCCGGGCUCAAACGGGGAGUGUCUCAGGCAGAGACGCCUGUUUCCCACGGGACACUCCCCGAGGUGCUGCAUGGUUGUCGUCAGCUCGUGCCGUGAGGUGUCGGCUUAAGUGCCAUAACGAGCGCAACCCCCGCGUGCAGUUGCUAACAGAUAACGCUGAGGACUCUGCACGGACUGCCGGCGCAAGCCGCGAGGAAGGCGGGGAUGACGUCAAAUCAGCACGGCCCUUACGUCCGGGGCGACACACGUGUUACAAUGGGUGGUACAGCGGGAAGCCAGGCGGCGACGCCGAGCGGAACCCGAAAUCCACUCUCAGUUCGGAUCGGAGUCUGCAACCCGACUCCGUGAAGCUGGAUUCGCUAGUAAUCGCGCAUCAGCCAUGGCGCGGUGAAUACGU
rnacentral:rRNA from 1 species